CCCGCUGAACUUAAGCAUAUCAAUAAGCGGAGGAAAAGAAACUAACAAGGAUUCCCUUAGUAACUGCGAGUGAAGAGGGAAAAGCUCAAAUUUAAAAUCUGGCAGUGUUUCACUGUCCGAGUUGUAACCUAGAGAAGUGUAACCUGCGCUGGACCGUGUAUAAGUCUCCUGGAACGGAGCGUCACAGAGGGUGAGAAUCCCGUCUUUGACACGGACUACCAGGGCUUAUGUGAUGUGCUCUCAAAGAGUCGAGUUGUUUGGGAAUGCAGCUCUAAAUGGGUGGUAAAUUCCAUCUAAAGCUAAAUAUUGGCGAGAGACCGAUAGCGAACAAGUACCGUGAGGGAAAGAUGAAAAGAACUUUGGAAAGAGAGUUAAACAGUACGUGAAAUUGUUGAAAGGGAAACGCUUGAAGUCAGUCGCGUUGUCCAGAAAUCAACCUUGCUUCUGCUUGGUGUACUUUCUGGUUAAUGGGUCAGCAUCAAUUUUGACCGGUGGAUAAAGGUCAGGGGAAUGUGGCAUCUUCGGAUGUGUUAUAGCCCUUGGUUGCAUACAUCGAUUGGGAUUGAGGAACUCAGCAUGCCGCAAGGCCGGGUUUUUAACCACGUACAUGCUUAGGAUGCUGGCAUAAUGGCUUUAAUCGACCCGUCUUGAAACACGG
rnacentral:rRNA from 1 species